AUUGCUAAGGUGGCCACCUUGACAAGAAACACCUACCACCUUGACUAGGUGCCCUGCUUAGCCAAAAAAAUAACUUUUAACGCUCCACCACCUUGACUAACAGAAAUUCUGGGGGAAACACUGGUGUAAAUGUGAGGGUGUUAAGAUAUGUUAUCACUCCCUUCUUCUUACCAAUUACAUAAGCGUUUCUGGCAACUUUAACAGAGAGGGUUGCCAAUUCUCAAUUCUCAAACCUCAAUAGAGUCUGUUGUUGACCAGCUCCCACUGCAGUGAGUCACCAAUGAGGGCCUCUUGUUCCAGUCAGGUGAUCAAAAUAAAGGCAGCUUAAACAUUCCCCAACGUAAUUACACUCAAAAAUGUCCUCUCACACUCCAACGCAUAAGCUACUUUGGUACAGACUUCCAGCUCUCUGCCCAACAGCUACAUGCAAUAAAAAAUGGGUAGAAAUGCCAGAAAUAGCAGAGGUCUGUAGAUGUCAAAAUAAUGAAUGCCUUCAAGGCUCUGACUCUUGGCCUCAGUUUUCCUUUUAAUGAUAAGAUUAGAUUCAAGUAGCCAAAUUACCUCAAUGUAUUCCCAGGCUCCAAAACACCCUCCGGGUGUCAACAACGGCUGUAUUCAAUAGACUCUGCAAGUGCGGACUUAAAUAUUCCAACAGAGUGGGUGCACAACUUUCCAUUCUAAUCUGGCUCCUAAUUAUACAUAAUUUUCAUCACUAUGGCACCAAUCCCAUCAUUUCUAAACAACGGUGCAAAACUGAGAACAUGGUAAGCCUGUUCAACAACACAUAUGGCCUACUUCUAUCUUUAUGGCAGGGGCAGCCAUGGCCUAAUAGUUAGGGAGGUGGUUUUAAGGCCAAAGAGUGGCAAGUUUGAAUCCCACCCUUACCUCUCCCGAAACCUCCAUCCGUGGCUGAAGUGCGCUUGAGCAAGUCACCUAGCCCCACAUUGUUCCAGGGAUUGUAAUCAAUACCCUACAAAAUAACGGUGGAUAAAAGCGCAACUAAGUGUAAUGUCACACAAACCUAUAAAAUGUCAGCAUUAUGAUAAGUCUUAUUGGGAGAAUCUAAGCAAAAUACAACCCUUGUCUUUCCUCAAACUAAUGGGUUUUGCCUUUCACUUCCUACUGAUUCAGGCCUGGCCUACGCAGUGUUCAGUCCUCCAAGGUCUCUCAGGUUACGAAGGCCGCCAAUUCCAUGCCUGCCACUAAAUUUAGCCCAGGCAAACAGACAGGGCUGAGAGUAUAAUGUCAGAGGUGGGCAUCGGGCACCUCUAGAGUAGAGAUGGGCUCACACUUUGACUUAAGUUCAGUACAUUUAUCGGCAUUCUCUCUGGUGCCCACAAAACUGUACCAGAGCAUUGGAUGUAGGUACACACUACGUAGCUGUUAUUGCUGGCAAUCAGCAUAUUUCAAUGCACCAUAACAGCCUGACAUGUUCCUCCUCCAUCGCAAUGCCUUGACAUUUGGGUGUAAUGAUACAACUUUAUGAUUUGGUAAUUACAGGAACCAGCACACAGUUGGAACGGACAAACGUCACCUUUCCAUGUCAACUGGACACUGUCUGGAGGCAAACCACUAAAACGCAAGACCAGGUGUCGUAGCUCUAGCCCAAAUGCGUCUGCUUCUCACGUCUAGAACUACAACCCUGCUCGUUGACAAUGCGUCUGCCAUUUCUCAUGGAACAGGAGACACGUGCGCAUGUCCUGAAACAAAACAUGCUAUUCCACACACCAGCAGUCAGAAAGAGAGAGACCAGUGAAGAGACCAGUGCUGUGUAUCGUCUGACUCAUAUGCAAAGGAUUUGUAUCAGCCAUAAAACCGCCAAUCAAAACCCCCAAAAAACGUAAACAGGAAAUGAGUGAAAUGAGGAAGAGAGACAGGAAGAGGAAGUCUAAAGUUGACCAGACAAAAAUGACGGCCAUAACGACAUAACGAGAGGAAGAGAUUCCAAACCAGGCAAAGUACAGUGAAGAUGGUGACAGGAAGCGAGUGGGGAGAGAGAGACUGGGAAGGACCGGCAAAGGACCCAGGCCGGGAAUCGAACAUGGGUCAGCCGCAAAGUAGAAGAGUGACCUACCAUUAAGCCACGGUAGGGCCACAUAUUGCAAGUUUCAAAUAAAAACUUCCUCUGGAUUUCAGCACAAUAGAUAAGAUUACUGCCCCGGUCAUGGCUCAAAUGAAUUUGGUUCGAUUCUGUCCCCAGGUCAUUUCCCCUGUGUCUCCCAUUGCUUUCCUGUCUCUUCUCAAACUCUCCUGUCCAAUACAGCUAAAAAUAU